AGAUUAAGGGACUUCAGGAGCUCACCAGGCCCUGGCCUACAAGCACACAAACACACCUGGGAAAUACCAGCUGCACAAGUUACUCUCAGCUACUACUCAGGCAGCAAGUGUCACUAACAGGAAGAACUAGCAUCCACUUACCUGUUGUCACAAUUGCAUGUUUCUUUUUGUCAGUUGUCUGCAUUACAGAAAUUGGAGAUGGACUUUGACCUACCAGCUCAUCACCAUCUUCCUGCCAAGCAACAUUUCUCCUUGUUAUAUUUUUGUAGUCUGCUUUCCUGCCCAGGUUUUAAAUGACAGAGCAAAAAGAAGCAUCUGCUACUACCCUUGAGAAUCUGUCUCCCUUCCAUAGAACAGUGCUGGAAGGGAUUGGUGGGGGAAGGAAAGAGGCCUGGCUAGUGUAAUCUCUGCCCUUGCUUGCUGGAUUUCUAAUAAUUGAGCAAAGAGGAAAAUUUGCAUGUCAGAUUAAGUUAACAGUGUUUGAUAUAAUUUUUAGUCUGCUUUUUUCUUUCCCGGUUACUUUUCCUACUUGUUGUGCCAAUAACAGGAGCGAUAUUUAUCACAAAAAUACCACAAGUAGUGGCAAUACCCUGUCAUUGCAUGAUUGCUGUUCUUCCUGUUAGCAAAGGACUGAGUUGUUCUCAUUUGUGUGCUGUUUCCCUCCCCUCUUAGAACUCUCUUUUCCUUGUAGGCAAGGAACAGCCGCAGCUCCGUUGUAAUUGGAAAUGAGCCUGAAAACACCAGAUGUGAGGUCUGUACAACUGGACAAAGGGG